rnacentral:rRNA from 1 species
AUUGACGCUGGCGGCAGGCCUAACACAUGCAAGUCGAGCGGUAGCACAGAGAGCUUGCUCUCGGGUGACGAGUGGCGGACGGGUGAGUAACGCGUGGGGAACCUGCCUCAUACAGGGGGAUAACAGUUAGAAAUGACUGCUAAUACCGCAUAAGCGCACAGUACCGCAUGGUACAGUGUGAAAAACUCCGGUGGUAUGAGAUGGACCCGCGUCUGAUUAGCUAGUUGGAGGGGUAACGGCCCACCAAGGCGACGAUCAGUAGCCGACCUGAGAGGGUGACCGGCCACAUUGGGACUGAGACACGGCCCAA